rnacentral:rRNA from 1 species
UACGGAGGGUGCAAGCGUUAUCCGGAUUCACUGGGUUUAAAGGGUGCGUAGGAGGGCAGGUAAGUCAGUGGUGAAAUCCUGGGGCUUAACCCCAGAACUGCCGUUGAUACUACCGGUCUUGAAUUCUGUGGAGGUGAGCGGAAUAUGUCAUGUAGCGGUGAAAUGCUUAGAUAUGACAUAGAACACCAAUUGCGAAGGCAGCUCACUACGCAGCGAUUGACUCUGAGGCACGAAAGCGUGGGGAUCAAACAGG